CGACCGGCGCACGGGUGCGUAACGCGUAUGCAACCUACCUUUAACAGGGGGAGUAACACUGAGAAAUUGGUACUAAUACCCCAUAAUAUCAUAGAAGGCAUCUUUUAUGGUUGAAAAUUCCGAUGGUUAGAGAUGGGCAUGCGUUGUAUUAGCUAGUUGGUGGGGUAACGGCUCACCAAGGCGACGAUACAUAGGGGGACUGAGAGGUUAACCCCCCACACUGGACUGAGACACGGCCAG
rnacentral:rRNA from 1 species